rnacentral:rRNA from 1 species
UACGAAGGGGGCUAGCGUUGCUCGGAAUCACUGGGCGUAAAGGGUGCGUAGGCGGGUCUUUAAGUCAGGGGUGAAAUCCUGGAGCUCAACUCCAGAACUGCCUUUGAUACUGAAGAUCUUGAGUUCGGGGAGAGGUGAGUGGAACUGCGAGUGUAGAGGUGAAAUUCGUAGAGUAUUCGCAAGAACACCAGUGGCGAAGGCGGCUCACUGGCC